rnacentral:rRNA from 1 species
CCCAGACUCCUACGGGAGGCAGCAGUGAGGAAUAUUGGUCAAUGGGCGGGAGCCUGAACCAGCCAAGCCGCGUGAGGGAAGAAGGUACAGCGUAUCGUAAACCUCUUUUGUCAGGGAACAAAGGCGGGGACUAGUCCCCGGAUGAGGGUACCUGAAGAAAAAGCAUCGGCUAACUCCGUGUCAGCAGCCGCGGUAAUACGGAGGAUGCGAGCGUUAUCCGGAUUUACUGGGUGUAAAGGGAGCGUAGACGGCAGCGCAAGUCUGAAGUGAAACCCCAUGGCUUAACCAUGGAACUGCUUUGGAAACUGUGCAGCUGGAGUGCAGGAUAGGUAAGCGGAAUUCCUAGUGUAGCGGUGAAAUGCGUAGAUAUUAGGAGGAACACCAGUGGCGAAGGCGGCUUACUGGACUGUAACUGACGUUGAGGCUCGAAAGCGUGGGGAGCAAACAGGAUUAGAUACCCGAGUA